rnacentral:rRNA from 1 species
AGCGAAAUUCCUUGUCGGGUAAGUUCCGACCUGCACGAAUGGCGUAACGAUGGCGGCGCUGUCUCCACCCGAGACUCAGUGAAAUUGAAAUCGCUGUGAAGAUGCAGUGUAUCCGCGGCUAGACGGGAAGACCCCGUGAACCUUUACUGUAGCUUUGCACUGGACUUUGAGCCUGCUUGUGUAGGAUAGGUGGGAGGCUUUGAAGCGUGGACGCCAGUUCGCGUGGAGCCAUCCUUGAAAUACCACCCUGGCAUGCUUGAGGUUCUAACUCUGGUCCGUGAUCCGGAUCGAGGACAGUGUAUGGUGGGCAGUUUGACUGGGGCGGUCUCCUCCUAAAGAGUAACGGAGGAGUACGAAGGUGCGCUCAGACCGGUCGGAAAUCGGUCGCAGAGUAUAAAGGCAAAAGCGCGCUUGACUGCGAGACAGACACGUCGAGCAGGUACGAAAGUAGGUCUUAGUGAUCCGGUGGUUCUGUAUGGAAGGGCCAUCGCUCAACGGAUAAAAGGUACUCCGGGGAUAACAGGCUGAUACCGCCCAAGAGUUCAUAUCGACGGCGGUGUUUGGCACCUCGAUGUCGGCUCAUCACAUCCUGGGGCUGAAGCCGGUCCCAAGGGUAUGGCUGUUCGCCAUUUAAAGUGGUACGCGAGCUGGGUUUAGAACGUCGUGAGACAGUUCGGUCCCUAUCUGCCGUGGACGUUUGAGAUUUGAGAGGGGCUGCUCCUAGUACGAGAGGACCGGAGUGGACGAACCUCUGGUGUUCCGGUUGUCACGCCAGUGGCAUUGCCGGGUAGCUAUGUUCGGAAAAGAUAACCGCUGAAAGCAUCUAAGCGGGAAACUUGCCUCAAGAUGAGAUCUCACUGGGAACUUGAUUCCCCUGAAGGGCCGUCGAAGACUACGACGUUGAUAGGCUGGGUGUGUAAGCGUUGUGAGGCGUUGAGCUAACCAGUACUAAUUGCCCGUGAGGCUUGACCAU